GAUGAACGCUAGCUACAGGCUUAACACAUGCAAGUCGCAGGGUAACAUGAGGAAAGCUUGCUUUCCUUGAUGACGACUGGCGCACGGGUGAGUAACGCGUAUCCAACCUUCCCAUAACUACGGGAUAACCCGUUGAAAGACGGCCUAAUACCGUAUGAUAUCGUUUGCUGACAUCAAAUAACGAUUAAAGGUUUAGCGGAUAUGGAUGGGGAUGCGUCUGAUUAGCUUGUUGGCGGGGUAACGGCCCACCAAGGCGACGAUGAGUAGGGGCUCGGAGAGGAAGGUACACCACAAUGGAACUGCGACACGGUCCAAACUCCUACGGGAGGCAGCAGUGAGGAAUAUUGGUCAAUGGGCGAGAGCCUGAAACAGCCAAGUAGCGUGCAGGACGACGGCCCUAUGGGUUGUAAACUGCUUUUAUGUGGGGAUAAAGUGCGUGACGUGUCAUGCAUUGCAGGUACCACAUGAAUAAGGAACGGCUAAUUCCGUG
rnacentral:rRNA from 1 species